AACAAGCUCUUGCAACUGUGUCUUUAACUCUUUUAAUUCUAUAGGAACCAUCCGGUACGGAGCAAUGGAGAUCGGAGUAGUUCCCGGAAUCAAAUCUAUAGAAAAUUCCAGUUCUCUUUCUGGUGGCAAUCCUGGUAAUUCUUCUGGAAACACAUCGAAAAAUUCACAUACCACUGGAACUGCCUGUAUCUUUGACUCAGAUACCUUGGUGUCGAGUACAUAAGCCAAGUAAGC
rnacentral:lncRNA from 1 species